AGUGAACGCUGGCGGCAGGCCUAACACAUGCAAGUCGAGCGGCAGCGCGUCCGACCACCCUCGGGUGGUCGGAUGGCGGCGAGCGGCGGACGGGUGAGGAAUGCAUCGGAAUCUGCCUCGUUGUGGGGGAUAACGUAGGGAAACUUACGCUAAUACCGCAUACGACCUACGGGUGAAAGUGGGGGACCUUCGGGCCUCACGCGAUGAGAUGAGCCGAUGCCGGAUUAGCUAGUUGGCGGGGUAAAGGCCCACCAAGGCGACGAUCCGUAGCUGGUCUGAGAGGAUGAUCAGCCACACUGGAAUUGAGACACGGUCCAGACUCCUACGGGAGGCAGCAGUGGGGAAUAUUGGACAAUGGGGGCAACCCUGAUCCAGCCAUGCCGCGUGUGUGAAGAAGGCCUCGGUGUAAGCACUUU
rnacentral:rRNA from 1 species